rnacentral:rRNA from 1 species
GAUGAACGCUGGCGGCGUGCCUAAAACAUGCAAGUCGUGCGGCAGCGGGCCUUCGGGUGCCGGCGAGCGGCGGACGGGUGAGUAACGCGUAGGAACGUACCCCAAAGUGAGGGAUAAGCUCCGGAAACGGAGUCUAAUACCGCAUAUGCUCUUAGGAGUAAAGGAGUAAUCCGCUUUGGGAGCGGCCUGCGUCCGAUUAGUUUGUUGGUGAGGUAAUGGCUUACCAAGACGAUGAUCGGUAGCUGGUUUGAGAGGAUGAUCAGCCACACUGGGACUGAGACACGGCCCAGACUCCUACGGGAGGCAGCAGUUAGGAAUUUUCCACAAUGGGGGCAACCCUGAUGGAGCAACGCCGCGUGCAGGAAGACGGCCUUCGGGUUGUAAACCGCUUUAAAAGUGAAGAUUAUGACGGUAACUUUAGAAUAAGGAUCGGCUAACUCCGUGCCAGCCGCCGCAGUAA